GGCUAGCUCCUUUGUCACCGAAACUUCAGUCUCGAUUGAUCAAAGAGCUACUCUCAGGUGACACAAAGAUCCCAGGUGACCGACAGUCAUGAGGUUCCUUUACCUGCUUCUUGCUGUUCUCUUCUUCCUCUUCCAGGCUUCCUCAGGCUUUGUGGACGUCGCCCCAGCUGACACCGUGGCAUGCAGAAGUCAAGGGAAUUUCUGCAGCUUCAGGACCUGCCCUCCAACAUUUGAAGCUACAGGCACUUGCCACGAUGGAGCCUUGGUCUGCUGUUCAAAGGUUCCAAGAGUCUAAGAGAUUUCCUCACAACACCAGAACCGUUCACACUGCCUGGCCGAAGCCUAUUCAAUGAAUUCUUUUUUCUAGACCUUCCUGCAAGAUCAUUAGAACAAAAGUUUCCUACAACCAUAUCGUGGGGGGAGGGGACAACCAAUCCAAGUCAUCUCCAUCUCUCCGAGACCCACUUGUCUUGCUUUUAAUUAAUACAGUGGCCAUGCCAGCACUUUGCAUGAGUAUUCCAGCCUACCUCGCUGGGAUGUUUCCAAUACUAAUCAGUUCAUGUUUUUGCAGCUGUUUGAGAGGUGAAGGAUAAAACAUAUUCAAAUUAUUAUUGCAGUCAUGAAAAAAUAAAGGGUAUUUAUCCUUA